ensembl:snoRNA
AUCCUUUUGUGGCUCAUAGAUGUGACGAUUGGGAGUUCAUGCUAUUAUUGUGUGAGAUGUACUACCCUCAAACCUUAUCACAACACUGGCACAUGACCUGUCUGAUA